AACGAACGCUGGCGGCAGGCUUAACACAUGCAAGUCGAGCGGGCCCUUCGGGGUCAGCGGCAGACGGGUGAGUAACGCGUGGGAAUCUACCCAUCCCUACGGAACAACUCCGGGAAACUGGAGCUAAUACCGUAUACGCCCUAAGGGGGAAAGUUUUAUCGGGGAUGGGUGAGCCCGCGUUGGAUUAGCUAGUUGGUGGGGUAAAGGCCUACCAAGGCGACGAUCCAUAGCUGGUCUGAGAGGAUGAUCCGCCACAUUGGGACUGAGACACGGCCCAAACUCCUACGGGAGGCAGCAGUGGGGAAUAUUGGACAAUGGGCGCAAGCCUGAUCCAGCCAUGCCGCGUGAGUGAUGAAGGCCUUAGGGUUGUAAAGCUCUUUCAGUAGGGAAGAUAAUGACGGUACCUACAGAAGAAGCCCCGGCUAACUUCGUGCCAGCCGCCGCCGUAAUAC
rnacentral:rRNA from 1 species